rnacentral:rRNA from 1 species
GACGAAGGAUGCAAGCGUUAUCCGGAUUCAUUGGGGUUAAAGGGAGCGUAGGCGGUCUUGUAAGUCAGUGGUGAAAUCUCGCAGCUUAACUGCGAAACUGCCAUUGAUACUGCUUGACUAGAGUACAGAUGCUGUGGGCGGAAUAUGACAUGUAGUGGUGAAAUACAUAGAGAUGUUAUAGAACACCGAUUGCGAAGGCAGCUCACAAAACUGUAACUGACGCUGAGGCUCGAAAGUGUGGGGAUCAAACAGG